GAUGAAGAACGUAGCGAAAUGCGAUAAGUAAUGUGAAUUGCAGAAUUCAGUGAAUCAUCGAAUCUUUGAACGCAUAUUGCGCUCUUUGGUAUUCCGAAGAGCAUGCUUGUUUGAGUAUCAGUAAACACCUCAACCUCUUCUUGAUUUUUCAAAAGGAGGGUGGACUUGAGCUAUCCCAACAACCUUUACCGGUCGGCGGGCGGCUUGAAAUGCAGGUGCAGCUGGACUUUUAUCUGAGCUAAAAGCAUAUCUAUUUAGUCCUCGUCAAACAGGAUUAUUACUUUUGCUGCAGCUAACAUAAAGGAUAAUUGUCCUCUUUGCUGACUGAUGCAGGAUUUUACGACACUUUAUGUGUUGUUCAACUCGAUCUCAAAUCAAGUAAGACUACCCGCUGAACUUAAGCAUAUCAAUAAGCGGAGGA
rnacentral:misc_RNA from 1 species